rnacentral:rRNA from 1 species
ACGGAAGGCAGCAGUGAGGAAUAUUGGUCAAUGGGCGAGAGCCUGAACCAGCCAAGUAGCGUGAAGGAUGACGGCCCUACGGGUUGUAAACUUCUUUUGCCGGGGGAUAAAAAACGGGACGUGUCCCGUCUUGCAGGUACCCGUGCGAAUAAGGACCGGCUAAUUCCGUGCCAGCAGCCGCGGUAAUACGGAAGGUCCGAGCGUUAUCCGGAUUUAUUGGGUUUAAAGGGAGCGUAGGCCGGACUUUAAGCGUGUUGUGAAAUGUAGUCGCUCAACGGGUGCACUGCAGCGCGAACUGGAGUCCUUGAGUGCGCGGGAAGUUGGCGGAAUUUGUGGUGUAGCGGUGAAAUGCUUAGAUAUCACGAAGAACUCCGAUUGCGAAGGCAGCUGACUGUAGCGUAACUGACGCUGAUGCUCGAAAGUGCGGGUAUCGAACAGGAUUAGAUACCCUGGUA